CACGGGGCUUGAACCCAUGAGCUGCGAGAUCAUGGCCUGAGCCGAAGUCGGAUGCUUAACCAAGUGAACCACCCAGGAGCCCCCAACUACAGCAUUUGAAGGGGAGGAUCUAAUUCCACACAAAAUGGAAGACUCUGAAGUGUACCCAUUAAACUGCUAAAAAACAAAAAUAGAGUAAACUGCCACGCUGUCAAAGGUCCUUUGAGAGGGACAUAAAACAAAAAACUCAAGUAGUCUCUGGGAGCUAAAAGAAGCCCCUGGCUGACGGCCAGCCAAGAAACAGGGACCUCAGUCUUAACAACCACCGAAUUCUGAAUUCUGAAUUCUGCCAACAAUCGCAUGAGCUUGGAAGAGGACCCCAAGCUUCAGGUCAGCCCACCUGACACCUUAUCUGGAAACUUAUGCGACCCUGAGCAGAGGACCCAGACCCCUGACCCAGGAGUCUGAGAUAAUGAAGAUGCCGAUCAUGAUGGGACCAAACUGUGCAGAAGAGGUCAAAGAGAUGUGCGCAGGCUAAAGGAGCCUUGGAUGAGGGGAAGCCAGUCAGCAAGGGAGGUCACCAAUCGCACACAUCCGUCUGCCUCCGAAGCAUUACUGACAAACUCUUCUUUUAUUACUAAGCAAGUUGCUCUUACCUGCAAACCUCCACUCCCUGACAAACACUGCUUUAUCACAAUACCACACAGUAGAAAGCUGACCACCCCAAAUAUGCAUGUAGAUAGCCAGACAGAGUAUUGGCUAUCCACUUGGUGACUUGGCCUGUUGGAAACUAAACUGGAAAGGUGUCUACUGUCCUAAUAACUUCUCUACCGGGCAACUUUCUCUCACUGAGUUCCCUGGAUAGCAGAGGGAAUCUUAAGGAAGGAUGGACCUGGACUUAAGUCCAGGCCCAAACAACUCCUGGCUUUGUAGCCUUGGAGAAGCUUCGCGGGUACUCUGGGCAUCAUCUCUAACAUACACAUAAUAAUUCUAUCCUAGGGUUAUGGAGAAUAUUAGCUGAGGUGAUACCUAUGAAAUACUUCGUACAAUGCUCAAACACAUUAGCUCAAACAUAAAAAUGCUCAAACACAUUAGCUGUUGUUUUUAAAGAUAUUAUGAGACAGGUAAUGUACUCAAUAAGCUCUUCAAAGCGGUCAGAGGCAUCCUUUCUCUUUGGUCCUGAAAUCAACAAUGUUACUCUCGUGUUGGAGCUAGAAAAGUCUGCCAUUUAGCGUCAGGGUAACAUCAAGCACAUUUUUGCGUGGGUGGCCCCCCUUCUUCAUGCAGGAUAAAGAUCGAGUUAAGCACAGUACUUUGGGACCCCAGAAGUCAAGGCCUAUAGCUGCAGUGGUCCGGGAGUGGGGAGGGGGCCACCACUGCUAAACGGAGCAUUUCCUCUCAUGCGAUCUGUUUCCCUCUGGCUUCCUGUGCUGCUCACGCAGAUACAACCACAAGCCGGCUUUGCAGUGCAGUUUAAUGAUGUUCCCAUUGCAUAAGGUUUUGUUUGGGUGCAGUUCGGUCAAAAUGAGGUGGGGGCAGGGGGAGUGCAAUCUGUUGCAGCUGUUCAUCAUUACCCAGAUAAGCUUCAGAAGCCUCCCAAUUAACCUUCGUGUGUAAUAAAGCCAAUCAGCACAUAAAAACAAGAAUUUCUCAUUUACUGAAAUGAUAUUUGGCUUGUAAUUGCUGUCUGAGAAUGUUGAACCAAGUAGAAAACAUUAAGAAAAUUGCACUCCUCCCCACAAAUUUAAGCUUAGUGAUUAUUAAAGAAAAAAAAAAGACUAAGAAUGUCAUUUGGUAGCAUAAG